GUGCCGGUGGUGUAAGUGGUCGCUGCCCGGAAAGCAGAAGAUGCGGGUUCGAGUCCCGCCUGGCGCA
rnacentral:tRNA from 1 species